rnacentral:rRNA from 1 species
GACGGUGAAUGAGUGCGAACAGCGACCGUACGUGGAGCUUGCUCCCUUAGGUCAGCGGCGGACGGGUGAUUAACACGUGGGUAACCUGCCUGUAAGACUGGGAUAACUCCGGGAAACCGGGGCUAAUACCGGAUGCUUGAUUGAACCGCAUGGUUCAAUCAUAAAAGGUGGCUUUUAGCUACCACUUGCAGAUGGACCCGCGGCGCAUUAGCUAGUUGGUGAGGUAACGGCUCACCAAGGCGACGAUGCGUAGCCGACCUGAGAGGGUGAUCGGCCACACUGGGACUGAGACACGGCCCAGACUCCUACGGGAGGCAGCAGUAGGGAAUCUUCCGCAAUGGACGAAAGUCUGACGGAGCAACGCCGCGUGAGUGAUGAAGGUUUUCGGAUCGUAAAACUCUGUUGUUAGGGAAGAACAAGUACCGUUCGAAUAGGGCGGCACCUUGACGGUACCUAACCAGAAAGCCACGGCUAACUACGUGCCAGCAGCCGCGGUAAUACGUAGGUGGCAAGCGUUGUCCGGAAUUAUUGGGCGUAAAGCGCGCGCAGGCGGUUUCUUAAGUCUGAUGUGAAAGCCCCCGGCUCAACCGGGGAGGGUCAUUGGAAACUGGGGAACUUGAGUGCAGAAGAGGAGAGUGGAAUUCCACGUGUAGCGGUGAAAUGCGUAGAGAUGUGGAGGAACACCAGUGGCGAAGGCGACUCUCUGGUCUGUAACUGACGCUGAG